CAGCUUUUGUCGCCGGAAGAUGACGUAAAAACACAGCGUCUAAUUUAGAACGGGCCUUUGAGGACCCACCUCUCGUUAUGAUUGACAAGCCGAUGCGCCAAUCAGGUGCAACUAUAUCGUCACGCCAAAGACUUGGAGCAGCUGGUACUGGUUAUCACUGCACUUUAUCAAAUAGCAUCCCUAUUUCAAUUGAGAAUGAAGAGGUUCUUAGAUAAAGAACUUGUAAAAAUCAGGUACAAUAAUAAAGUCAUGGAUGAUUCUUGGAAUUUGCUAAAAUGAAAUGCUGCAUCUAAGUGCGAUUUAGCAGAUGUUCUCUCUUUCUACACCAAAGGCAGCAACUUUCAUUGGUGACUACUCACAAAACUUUGUGCCUGGAAGAUGGACAUUUGGCAAGCCAUAAUAGACUGCUCCUUUCCCAGGUAUCUCCUGCUUGUUUCCUUUAUCUGUGAAUAGGAAAUGGCUUAAAGGCACCUGUGUGAUGAAGGUCCCAGGGGCAGCUGCCUGACUAGUGAAUGCCUGAUUAUGUGUUAACAUGCUUUGUCAGAUAUUGGCAGAAUCUGUUCUCUUCUUUUGCCUUUUCAGCAAGGGUACCAUUGACAGCCUGGCUACCCAUUUAUAGAAAUGUUGUCCAUCAAACUGUGAGGAAGGACAAUAGUGUUUUUCUGUGGCCAGUGACUGUGGGAAACUUUUCUUUGGCUAUUCACGCAAUUUUUGUAGCUUGCUCUGAAGAGGAGAGACUGAUGAGUGCAAAAAGUACAAUUAAGCAAAGCCAGACUUCAAUUGAAGGCUCUAGUGUAGUCUGCUGUUCUCAUUUUUUUUUUUUUUAAUUUAGAGGGGGGAAAAACCCUAUGGGUUUUCACGUUGCUGUGUGGC